GAUGAACGCUGGCGGCGUGCCUAAUACAUGCAAGUAGAACGCUGAAGGAAGGAGCUUGCUCUUUCCGGAUGAGUUGCGAACGGGUGAGUAACGCGUAGGUAACCUGCCUGGUAGCGGGGGAUAACUAUUGGAAACGAUAGCUAAUACCGCAUAACAGUAGAUGUUGCAUGAUAUCUACUUAAAAGGUGCAAUUGCACCACUACCAGAUGGACCUGCGUUGUAUUAGCUAGUUGGUGAGGUAACGGCUCACCAAGGCGGCGAUACAUAGCCGACCUGAGAGGGUGGUCGGCCACCCUGGGACUGGGACACGGCCCAGGCUCCUGCGGGAGGCAGCAGUAGGGAAUCUUCGGCAAUGGACGGAAGUCUUGCCGAGCAACGCCGCGUGAGUGAAGAAGGUUUUCGGAUCGGAAAGCUCUGUUGUAAGUGAAGAACGAGUGUGAGAGUGGAAGGUUCACACUGUGACGGUAUCUUACCAGAAAGGGCCGGCUAACUACGUG
rnacentral:rRNA from 1 species